rnacentral:misc_RNA from 1 species
GAUUAUUCAACUUUCCAAUCU